rnacentral:rRNA from 1 species
UACGAACCGUCCAAACGUUACUCGGAAUCACUGGGCUUAAAGGGUGCGUAGGCUGCGCGGAGGGUGGGAUGUGAAAUCCCCCGGCUCAACCGGGGAAUAGCGUCCCAAACCGCCGUGCUCGAGGGAGACAGAGGUGAGCGGAACUGAUGGUGGAGCGGUGAAAUGCGUUGAUAUCAUCAGGAACACCAGUGGCGAAGGCGGCUCACUGGGUCUUUCCUAACGCUGAGCACGAAAGCUAGGGGAGCGAACGGG